UGCCAGCAGCCGCGGUAAUACGGAGGGUGCAAGCGUUAAUCGGAAUUACUGGGCGUAAAGCGCACGCAGGCGGUUUGUUAAGUCAGAUGUGAAAUCCCCGGGCUCAACCUGGGAACUGCAUUUGAAACUGCAUGGCUAGAGUAUCGAAGAGGGAAGUGGAAUUUCCGGUGUAGCGGUGAAAUGCGUAGAUAUCGGAAGGAACACCAGUGGCGAAAGCGACUUCCUGGUCGAAUACUGACGUUCAUGUGCGAAAGCGUGGGGAGCAAACAGGAUUAGAUA
rnacentral:rRNA from 1 species